rnacentral:ncRNA from 5 species
UACGUAGGUGGCGAGCGUUAUCCGGAAUUAUUGGGCGUAAAGAGCGCGCAGGUGGUUGAUUAAGUCUGAUGUGAAAGCCCACGGCUUAACCGUGGAGGGUCAUUGGAAACUGGUCGACUUGAGUGCAGAAGAGGGAAGUGGAAUUCCAUGUGUAGCGGUGAAAUGCGUAGAGAUAUGGAGGAACACCAGUGGCGAAGGCGGCUUCCUGGUCUGUAACUGACACUGAGGCGCGAAAGCGUGGGGAGCAAACAGG